rnacentral:rRNA from 1 species
UGGGGAAUAUUGCACAAUGGGCGCAAGCCUGAUGCAGCAACGCCGCGUGAGGGACGACGGCCUUCGGGUUGUAGACCUCUUUUGGCAGGGAAGAAGCGAAAGUGACGGUACCUGCAGAAAAAGCACCGGCUAACUACGUGCCAGCAGCCGCGGUGAUACGUAGGGUGCAAGCGUUGUCCGGAAUUAUUGGGCGUAAAGAGCUCGUAGGCGGUUUGUCGCGUCUGCUGUGAAAACCCGAGGCUCAACCUCGGGCCUGCAGUGGGUACGGGCAAACUAGAGUGCGGUCGGGGAGAUUGGAAUUCCUGGUGUAGCGGUGGAAUGCGCAGAUAUCAGGAGGAACACCAAUGGCGAAGGCAGAUCUCUGGGCCGUAACUGACGCUGAGGAGCGAAAGCAUGGGGAGCGAACA